UCAGGACGAACGCUGGCGGCGUGCUUAACACAUGCAAGUCGAACGAUGAAGCCCUUCGGGGUGGAUUAGUGGCGAACGGGUGAGUAACACGUGGGCAAUCUGCCCUUCACUCUGGGACAAGCCCUGGAAACGGGGUCUAAUACCGGAUAUUACUCCUGCCUGCAUGGGCGGGGGUUGAAAGCUCCGGCGGUGAAGGAUGAGCCCGCGGCCUAUCAGCUUGUUGGUGGGGUAAUGGCCCACCAAGGCGACGACGGGUAGCCGGCCUGAGAGGGCGACCGGCCACACUGGGACUGAGACACGGCCCAGACUCCUACGGGAGGCAGCAGUGGGGAAUAUUGCACAAUGGGCGAAAGCCUGAUGCAGCGACGCCGCGUGAGGGAUGACGGCCUUCGGGUUGUAAACCUCUUCAGCAGGGAAGAAGCGAAAGUGACGGUACCUGCAGAAGAAGCGCCGGCUAACUACGUGCC
rnacentral:rRNA from 1 species